CUCUCAAACUAAGGGCAACAGUGUUGCUCAGAUCCAAGUCUGGAUAAAGUCUUUUGACUGCAUCCCUGUCGUCUUCAUAACCAAUGCAGUAAGAGACGUAUCUGCCCUCGAGGACUUCAUUUUUGAAAUCUUGUGAUUCUCUGAAAUCCUCAAUGGCCUGACUCAAAGUGCCUUUCGCCGACUGUGCUUCCUCCUUUGC
rnacentral:lncRNA from 1 species